CCUCCCUCUCCGGCGCCGUCGCCGCUGUCACCCCCGCUCGCCCCUCUCUCUCCCUCCACACUCGCUGCCGCCGUCACCCUCGCUCGCACCUCCCCGUCGCCCUGCUCUCGCCUUCGCCAUGCCCCCCGUGCGACGCUCCGGCCGCUCUCGCUUCCCCCUCGCGCUCGCCGACGCCGCCGCGUCCCCCUCGCGCGUGCCGGCGCCCCAUCUCGCCCAGGCCUACGCGACACCCCGUUGGAACUGCCCGGAGUCCGGCGCGCUGCCUCCCCAUCUCACGGCACUUCACGGUGCCGAUGAGUUUGGCCGUCGUCCACCAACUCCUCUGAUCUGAAUUCGGUUUUUGUUCCUCUUCUCCCCUCCACUCCACGAUGCAGCGCGUGCUGGAGAUAGCGUGGAUUUAGACGCCGACGAGGCCAGGCACCCCGCGUCGAUGACGGCGACGACAAGUUUGGCCGCCACAUCCCUCCGUCUUGCACAAGGUCGUCUGAUCUGAGUACAACUGCCACUCUUCAUCAACCUCUGCGCAAGGCUGUCCUGAUCUUCUUGGUGACGUUGCGGGUUGGGACGCGGAGCUGGAGCCCUACUUUUCUGCUUCCACUCCAUCGAGGGCGCCAUCACCAGCUUAAAUCCUUUUUACAAUGACAUGAUCUUCCUGAGACACAAAUAUAUGCGAAGAUCGAAAAUUCUGAGGGUUUGGAUCAUUUCAAUGAAAUUUUCCAAGAGGCUCAUGGCAUCAUUAUUUCUCGAGGAGACCUGGGAAUUGACCUUCCACCAGAAAAUUUCAAGUUGUAGAACCAUCCACAUUAUUUGACUAAUCGGUUAUCUUCUUGGCUGAGACUGUGUAUAACCAGCCACUUAAUUCAAGAAAGUAAUGUGGCAUAUUGGCCACCUGAUGCCCCAUGUAUGAGGAAUCUAUGGCCUCAGCAGCGGUUGGUUCUGUGAUUGAAGUAAAAGCUGCUGCAACUGUUGUGUUCACAUUCUUAGGGAGAGCUGCUAGGUGCCCUAUAUCUUCUCUGAGAUCAGCACCUCUCUAGACAAGUUCACGUCAUAUGAAGCAAUUGAAUAAUUUCAUGCUUAUCGUUGUGCAGGCAAGGCAAUGUUUUCAUCAGAGCUACGUGUAAAAGACAUAGAACUUACCAGGCUGAGGAUCAUAUGCAAGGAUCAUUGCUAGCCAGUGCUGCACAUUUCAUUAGCUUCAUGUUCACGAAAAUACUUCUGUAGCUGAUGUAUUGGUAGCAUUGCUCGAAACAAAAUAGAUUCAAUUUUUCAGUAUCAACUAUAUGUGUUUGUCUAACUGCAUGAAAUUGAGUCCUUAGAUGCAACUAUUUUUUUAGAGUUAUAUCUGCAAUGAUAAAAGUUAAACAUACUUUAGCUACAUUCUGAUAAUUUUAUGAUUCGCAAUGAAACUUUGGUUUGCUACAUGCUGUUGUUGCACCCUUUCCAUUAUUACAGAUUAUUUGAUGCUUAAAAAUGUUAUUCAUUCUUUUCAGGGGACUAGGCCAUUUCGAAUGGAGCAAUCAGGUGAUGGGACCUUCUUGAAGUCACCCUUUGCUGAUCAAGUGACGGGAUCGUUUUGAAGUCACUCUACUAUGUGUUCAAACAAUGUCCUGUUGAAAACUUAUUAGUAUUUCAGUAAUGAUCGUGUGUCAUGGAAUUUAUCAGUGAAUGGUUGAAUGUUGUUUCAUGAAUUAUAAAUGCAUAAUUAUUAUAUGAUCCUGUAUUUUCAUGUUUUAAA